AGCAUUCUCAAUAGCUAGCACAACACUGCUACUAGCUCAAACAACUAAACCAAAUAAGCUAACAGAAGCAAAAUAACUGUAAAAAUUACAGACAAAAAAAUUGUAAUUGCCAUAUGCAACCAUUUAACCACAAAUUCAACACAAUCAUCAUUUAGCAAGAAUUAAAUUGAUAUAAUCAAACAAAAUUAGGACCUAGCAGCAGCAGCAGCAGCAAUUAAAUCAUUCAAGAGACAAGGGCAAAACAACAAAAUGGGGCAGAAAAAAAAAGACAACUUAAAAGAAGGUAGAAAUUAAGGCAAAACCGGAUAGCACAGGGCAGACGAGCAGCAGGAAGAAUCGAAGAAGGCAAAAGGCGAGUCGUGGUCCUCGUGGUGUAAGUUAAGGGUGUUCAUGGGCCAGGGGAAGAAGGAAGCGGCGAUGGAGUUCACGGCUCAGCGGCUGCGUAACAGAGGAGCGGUGACGAAGAUAGCAGACGCUGGUGGACUGGUGGUGCUGGGUGAGCAGCGAGAAGCAGAUAGAAGAUGAUGGUAGAGGCUGGGUGGGUGAGGCGGUGAGCACUGACUUCUUGUGAUGUUUCUAUAAUCAGAUGACUGAAAGAAGUAAAAAUAAAAAUAAAUAAAUAAGUUCUUCAUAUAUUUUAAGUAAUCAA